UACGGAAGGCAGCAGUGGGGAAUAUUGCACAAUGGGCGCAAGCCUGAUGCAGCCAUGCCGCGUGUAUGAAGAAGGCCUUCGGGUUGUAAAGUACUUUCAGUCGUGAGGAAGGUGUUAAGGUUAAUAACCUUAGCAAUUGACAUUAGCGACAGAAGAAGCACCGGCUAACUCCGUGCCAGCAGCCGCGGUAAUACGGAGGGUGCGAGCGUUAAUCGGAAUUACUGGGCGUAAAGGGCACGCAGGCGGUUAAUUAAGUUGGAUGUGAAAUCCCCGGGCUUAACCUGGGAAUGGCAUUCAAGACUGGUUAGCUAGAGUCUUGUAGAGGGGGUUAGAAUUCCAUGUGUAGCGGUGAAAUGCGUAGAGAUGUGGAGGAAUACCGGUGGCGAAGGCGGCCCCUGGGACAAAGACUGACGCUCAUGUGCGAAAGCGUGGGGAGCAAACAGGAUUAGAUACC
rnacentral:rRNA from 1 species